UACGAGUGCCCCAAGCGUUAUCCGGAAUCAUUGGGCGUAAAGGGUGUGUAGGCGGUUGUGUUAGUCUCUUGUUAAAUUCUUCGGCUUAACCGGGGGCAUGCAAGGGAAACGGCACAACUAGAGGAUGCGAGAGGUAUAUGGAACUCAUGGAGUAGGGGUGAAAUCCGUUGAUAUCAUGGGGAACACCAAAUGCGAAGGCAAUAUACUGGACGCACUCCUGACGCUGAGACACGAAAGCGUAGGUAGCGAAUGGG
rnacentral:rRNA from 1 species